rnacentral:lncRNA from 1 species
GCGACAGCUUUCGCCAGCACACUAGGAAUAUUUUGUUUUAAAUUAUUACUAACUUAUUGAUCUAAACUUGCAACUACACUGAGUCUGUUAAAUGAUAUUUAUCAAAACCCGAAUAUACUUACAUAAAGAAAGUGUAUCUUGCAGUUUACAAAUUUAUACUUGGCAAAUUGGCCAGCUAUUUUUGAUAAACACAUUACUUGGAAGUCAUACACAUGCUCUCAGGUUUCCAAAUCUCGACCAAUGCAGCUGACAAUCAGUCUUUCCUGCCUGGCCUGCGGUUCUGGGAGACUUUCCUGAAAUCUACUCCUUUUCCUAGACCUCUCCAGUCCUUUUCCUUCACCCUUCUUCCUUACCCUUCAACCCUUCUGCCUAAAGAAGGAGCCAUUGGCUCUGAAAGUUUGCCAAUGUGCGUGUUCUGCCGCCACUUGUUUUUCAGGUGGGAAGUGACACAUAGUUGGUUAUGGACGGAAUGGUGUCUGGAAUUGAUGUAAGAAACACAGCAGGAUCUUCACUGAGCUUGUCCGCUAUUGAUAUUCAAUGAUACCGAGGCCGUGUCUAAUGGCAACACCUUCCCUGGCAUCCUGUUAAGAGGCAGUGGGGUCAUGGUAUGAGGCUUUAAAGUGCUGUACAUGGACUGGCUCAUUGUCUUGUCGUUUCCAGUGCAUGCAAGAGGUAGCAAGUCUUGUGUGACAGCAGAGGAGCUGUUUCCCUGUGAAACUGAUGCCGUGGGUUUGGCACAGUGUUACCAUGGACAGAAGUUUGGAGGCAGCAUUUAUAGCAGAUGUUCACAAGAUCACCUGCAGGUGGAGUGUAGUUCAAAUUAUGUCUGGAAUUUAAUCUGCGCACUGACAUGAAAGUGUUAUGCUUGCUGCAGAAGCUAAUUCUCCACCGAGAUUAUGAGUUGUGUCUGCACUGUUGAAUUGAUAAUUUCUUGGAUUUCACAGUAUUGCUUAUGGAUUUUCAUCAUAGCAAAAGAAAGGAGAAUACAAAUGAAUAAACAGUCACAUUUACAGUUUGAUAUGCAAACGCUUGACGGUUGGUGUUAAUGUAUGCCACCAAUUAAUGUUGUUUACUAAUCUGACGAUGUUUGAAAGCACUGUGUUCAAGUCUAUUUUGUGAGUUGUAUAUUGUGUGGUCAGGUAUUACCCUGAUUCCACUUAACUCUUAUGUUUGUAUUAAACAUAUCUUUGAUGUUGUCAAUAUACCGACAGCUGAUAAUUUGUUAUGCAAAGAUACAUAAAUUCUAUGUUUGAAGUAUAAAAACAGAAGUUGAUCUUUUUCACAACAGGAGCAGUUGCCUUUUUAAAGGUAGAUGUUUUUCUCAUAAAAAUCAUAUAUUAAGUGAUCUAGAAGUAAUUACCACAAUUGUCAGUGUGAGUACAUUAGUUCCAGUUAUAAUUUGUUGUUUUUAUAUGUUACAGAAGUAAACUUGUAGUGACUGCUUCUCUUUGUUUAUGAGUACGUUGACUCAGUCCAUACCACUGGAUGUUCUCCUUCAUGAUGGGAUUUACAGAACAUGAUGUGUGGGUGAGUGACUUUUAGAAUGCUCUGAAUUUCAUUCUGAACUGUGAAUUACUAAAACAGAAUACAUUCUUAGGAAAAAAAUAAGAGCAGGUAUGGAAUCCUGAUGAACAUCUUUUGGCAAAACGAACUUCACAUAUAGUCACAACAAGCAGACUUCACCAGAAUUGAAAGUAACAUAUUUGAAGCAGGGAAAUGUGCUAUGACCAUUAUUAUUCACAAAAUAUAUUAAGGAACCAAUAGCUCUAUGUUACAGAUAAUUCAAUUCUGUAUCAUAAAACUACAUCACUAGUAUCCUGUUCUGAAACGGACAACCUGGAUAUGAACAAAACUAGAAGGUGACCCUCAAAACAAGGAAAUGUAGUGUAAUGUAAGAAAAGACUUUAUACUGUCUGCUUAAAGAAUGUGAAAAGACUUUAUACAAUCUGAUUAUAGAAUAGUUAAAAAUAAGUAAUACUAGUCAUAUCCAUCAAACAGUUAGGGGUAAUCACCCAGAGCAAUUUAAGAUGAGUCAAUCAUAUACAAAUAGUUGUGAAGGCAGGCCCCAGUAUAAGAUUCACUGGAGAAUCCUGUAACAUGUCAAUAAAAGAAAUUGCUUAAAAAAUAUAAA